AGUGUCUCCCUGGUGCAGCCUUGGAAGCGGCUGGACACCCACUCAUGGCCACAGAGGGCAGCUUCCGGGCGACGCUCCAACUCUGCCCCUCGGACUCCUCGCGGAUACAGGCGUGUGUUUGAAACUGAUCAAUGUCCCCCCGGUUCCUUUCACUGACACCAGAAAGCCCGCGAAUACACCUCACAGUCUCUGAAGUCUCACUCUGAUCUUGGCUCACUGCAACCUCUGCCUCCUGAGUUCAACUGAUUCUCCUGCCUCAGCCUCACCAGUAGCUGGGAUUACAGACGCUCAUCACCAUGCCCGGCUAAUUUUGUAUUUUUAAUAGAGACAGGGUUUUGCUAUGUUGGCCAGGCUGGUCUCGAACUCCUGACCUCAAGUGAUCCACCUGCCUCGACCUCUGGGAUUACAGAUGUGAGCCAUCGCACCUGUGCGUGAAGGUUUUCUAACCUUCUAUCAGAUUUUCUAACCUCCCUAAGCCACAGGAUGAGAAAAGUGUGCGAUGCUCCCGCCUGAGGAAGCCAGCCCAGCCAACGCAGAGCCAAGGACCACUGAAGGCAUCGCCACCGCUACACGCUUGGAGCCAUCCAUGCCUGCAGCCGCGUUGAAUGCCUUCUGCUUCUUUCCUAUGCCAGCUUGAACUGGGUUACUUUUGCUUACAAAUGAAGUCCUCUAACUCAGGAAAUUGGGACUCUAGGAUGCAGUCAUCAGGGACCCAGUCAAGAUUGCAAAUAUGGGGAUGGAGGUAAAUGAGGAAGUGAAUGACUUCAACAGAAAUCCCUCUCUAUAAACUCCUACUGCCGGUGAGUCCCUGCGGCUGACACAUGUCCUACCUAACGUGGAAAUCUCAGCCUCCAGCCCAGGGCAUGCGAGACAUCCAAACCUCACUCACUCAGCAUCUGUCUCCUGGACUAGCAGUCACAGUACAUCUGUCCCCGUCUACAUCCUAACAGGGAAGCCUUCCCCAAAACAAAUCCAAGUGUUCUUCUCUCUAUGAAGACUUUCAAUCAAAACCAGAUUCAUCUUCUGGAUGGAUACAUGUGCCUAGCCCACCAGCAUCUUCUCUGUGUCUACCUGACCCACAGCUAAUAUCCAGGCGACGCCCCACACCCACUCAGGGUCCUCCUCAUCACUGCCCAGUGCUGCCACUCACUGACCGACCUUCUCACAGAGCAGACCUCAUGCGGGGGAUGCUAACGGCAUCUACAGACAGUGGGGUUUGCUUCAGUGACCAUCGCUCAAGGAGGCAGGUGCUACCCAGGCACCAGCAGUGUGGCUGUGCCAUCAGUGGACAGGGCAUCCAUGCCAUGAACAGGGGGACUCACUGUGCUUUUAGACACUUCCGACUUUUUGACUGCGCAGUUUCUAAAUAAUUGCCUUUUCCUUUGUGUGAGGUGGCACCCCCCCGUUGCCUGUUUCUCAUUCAAAAUAAAGGCAAGUAUACUUGAGAAGGGUGGAAGGGGAAAAGAGAAAAGAAGACAAUGUCUCCAGCUCCAAAAUGUAAACUACUAUAUUUAUCUUUUAAAGAAAGUUCAAGUUCCAAGAUCUGUAAAUGAUGUGGGCUUUUAUGAUGGUAAUUGUCUUGUUUUUCCAGCAUGAGCAGUCACAUGAUUCUUAACCCCACAGUUAAGGGGCGGACGGACACUCACGCGCGCAUGCAUAUAUGGAGAUGGUAUGGAUUUUCUGAAAAUGAAGAAAAAAUGCUAAAAGUCAUGAAAGAAAGGGCUUCCACUGGCUCUGCAUCCUUAAGUGACGAUUGAUUGAGAAGUCAGCCUCUUGUUUUCUAUGCCCACAUCCCUGCAAGCUGAAAGUCAGAAAAACUCUGCAGAGAAUCCCAUUGAAUAAGCUUCUUCCUGGCCAUUGCUGGCCUUGCUUGGGGGCUGAGCCAUGGCUGCCUCUGGAUGUACCAUCAGCCUGGGUGAUAAAAGGGCCAGGCACCUGGGGACGCCGCUCAUCCUGGGCAAUGGAGAGCUGCAAACAUGGUUCAUUCUGGAAACAUUCUUUGUCCUGAGCAGCAGGGCUUCUCUGCAUUCACCUGCUGAAAACUGGAUUCUUCUCCUGCAGCCAAACACACUGUGUGCUCCACGUGCUCAUGUGUGCAUGCCUGUCCAUCAUCACCUUGUCUUGAUUGUGAAUCCUGCCUUUUGGUUUGUAAGAAAACCAAAUUAAUUCUCAGGCACAGAUCAUAUCUAACUCCCCUCCCCUCACCUCUCCUCUCCUCCCCUCUCCUCCCCUCUCCUAUCCUUCCCUUUCCAUUUCUUUCCCCUUUCCUGUUCUUUCCUCUCCUUUCCUUCAGUGUCUUGCUCUGUCACCCAGACUGGAGUGCAGUGGCACGAUCUUGGCUCACUGCAACCUCUGCCUCCUGGGUUCAAGUGAUUAUUGUGGCUCAGCCUCCUGAGUAGCUGGGACUACAGAAGUUCACUACCAUGCCUGGCCUAGCUCAGUGUUUUUGAUGAAUUAAGAUCU